UAAGCAACUUAUACCGUGAAACUGCGAAUGGCUCAUUAAAUCAGUUAUCGUUUAUUUGAUAGUACCUUACUACUUGGAUAACCGUGGUAAUUCUAGAGCUAAUACAUGCUAAAAACCCCAACUUCGGGAGGGGUGUAUUUAUUAGAUAAAAAACCAAUGCCCUUCGGGGCUCCUUGGUGAAUCAUAAUAACUUAACGGAUCGCAUGGCCUUGCGCCGGCGACGGUUCAUUCAAAUUUCUGCCCUAUCAACUUUCGAUUGUAGGGUAUUGGCCUACAAUGGUAUCAACGGGUAACGGGGAAUUAGGGUUCGAUUCCGGAGAGGGAGCCUGAGAAACGGCUACCACAUCCAAGGAAGGCAGCAGGCGCGCAAAUUACCCAAUCCCGACGCGGGGAGGUAGUGACAAUAAAUACUGAUACAGGGCUCUUUUGGGUCUUGUAAUUGGAAUGAGUACAAUUUAAAUCCCUUAACGAGGAACAAUUGGAGGGCAAGUCUGGUGCCAGCAGCCGCGGUAAUUCCAGCUCCAAUAGCGUAUAUUAAAGUUGUUGCAGUUAAAAAGCUCGUAGUUGAACCUUGGGCCUGGCUGGCCGGUCCGCCUCACCGCGUGCACUGGUCCGGCCGGGCCUUUCCUUCUGGAGAGCCGCAUGCCCUUCACUGGGUGUGUCGGGGAACCAGGACUUUUACUUUGAAAAAAUUAGAGUGUUCAAAGCAGGCCUUUGCUCGAAUACAUUAGCAUGGAAUAAUAGAAUAGGACGUGCGGUCCUAUUUUGUUGGUUUCUAGGACCGCCGUAAUGAUUAAUAGGGAUAGUCGGGGGCAUCAGUAUUCAAUUGUCAGAGGUGAAAUUCUUGGAUUUAUUGAAGACUAACUACUGCGAAAGCAUUUGCCAAGGAUGUUUUCAUUAAUCAGUGAACGAAAGUUAGGGGAUCGAAGACGAUCAGAUACCGUCGUAGUCUUAACCGUAAACUAUGCCGACUAGGGAUCGGGCGAUGUUAUUAUUUUGACUCGCUCGGCACCUUACGAGAAAUCAAAGUUUUU
rnacentral:rRNA from 1 species